AAAAUGCGAUAACUAGUGUGAAUUGCAGAUUUACGUGAAUCAUCGAGUCUCUGAACGCAAAUUGCGCUCCAUGGUUAUUCCGUGGAGCAUACCUGUUUGAGUCUCACUUUUUUCCAUUCCCCCCUGGGGAAACAUGCAUUCUUCUGCCCCACAGGCAGAUGGUGUCAAACGCAAUCUCUUUUUUUGGGAACCGAGAAGAGCAGUGUGCCAAUACCACCUGUUCCGCUCCUCCCCCCAAAACAACCUUUGAGCUCAAAUCAGGCAGGACUACCCGCUGAACUUAA
rnacentral:misc_RNA from 1 species